rnacentral:rRNA from 1 species
CCUACGGGAGGCAGCAGUAGGGAAUCUUCCGCAAUGGACGAAAGUCUGACGGAGCAACGCCGCGUGAGCGAAGAAGGCCUUCGGGUCGUAAAGCUCUGUUGUUAGGGAAGAACAAGUACGAGAGUAACUGCUCGUACCUUGACGGUACCUGACCAGAAAGCCACGGCUAGCUACGUGCCAGCAGCCGCGGUAAU